GGAAGUAUAGCUCAGUGGUAGAGUGAGUGCCUAUCAUGCACAAGGUCCUGGGUUCAAUCCCCAGUACCUCCA
rfam:Camelus ferus unplaced genomic scaffold scaffold1887, whole genome shotgun sequence.